rnacentral:lncRNA from 1 species
ACAUCGACUAUAAAGAUUAUUUUCUAGAAUGAUAGCUUCUUUUUCACUCUUAAGACCGUCAAGUCAAUGGCAUCCUAAUCAUGAAUACAAAAUAUUUUAUAUAAGAGACAACCUGAUAAGCUAAUGAUAUGAUACAAAAUUAUUUGAUCAAAAGACUUACUAGCUGAAGCACAAACAUUAUAAAAAAUUAAAUAUAAAAACAUAAAAAUUAUACAUUUGGUCUCUAGUUAUUCAGAAGAAUUAGAUUAGAAAAAAUAUGCCUCCAGAAUCAACACACAAAAAUAUCUAAUUAAAGAUACAAAACUAAAGAUAUGAAUUCCAAAAACUAAGAAACUAGAACUCCGAUUUAUCAAAUAAAAAAUCAUACCUACUGAAGGCCGAAUAAAACUUUAAACUCUAACUCCUUUAUUCACUCUUCUUAUUAACAGAAAUCGAGCGUGAGAUAGUAUCUAGAAAUCAGGAGUUUAGGUUUUAGAAAUCAAAUGACUAAGGAGAUACGAUUUGAAUGGGAAAGGUCGAGAGGGACAGUGGGGGUUUAGAGAAAUGUAUUGACAGGAGAGAGUCGACUCAUCGUCUUCUACAUCUUUGACCCUUCGUCUUUCUAGAAAUCAAUUGGUGAUUACAAAUUUUCAUCUUUUCAAUUUCUCGCGCCC